rnacentral:tmRNA from 1 species
GGGGGCGACGUAGGCUUCGACGGGGGUUACAAAACCUAAAGUGCAUGUCGAGGAGCAGAGCACCUCGUAAAUCCAACUGCAAACUCAUAGUUGCCAACGACGACAACUACGCACUCGCUGCUUAAUACCCAGUAGGGUGCCGUCUGACUGGAGCCGUGCCUGUGCGUCCAGCUUUUUCAGGCGUCAUAUCUCAUAGGAUCGCGUGGAAGCUCGUCCGGGGCGGAGACGUUAAAACCUUACCGGAAUCGCUUGCCGCACGCCCUGUCCGUCGGGUGGCGGCCGGUUAAAAACAAUAGGCAGGACUAAACAUGUAGAACUCUGGGCAGAGGACUCACGGACGGCGGUUCGAAUCCGCCCGCCUCCACCA